UCUGCAUAUUACCCCACAGUGGCCAGAGGUACAUGACGGCAGUGCUGAAGGUGUUUGGACCGCUCACCCGGAAUUACUACAUCCGUGCCAUCCUGCAUGCAGCACUGGCCGUCCCUGCUGGCUUCCUGCUUUCCACCAUCCUGGGCACUGUCUGUCUGGGCAUUGCCAGCGGCAUCUACCUGCUGGCAGCUGUGCGU